AAUCCGAAGCCUGCCUAGAUGGCGCUGGU
rnacentral:sRNA from 1 species